rnacentral:rRNA from 1 species
AUGAACGCUGGCGACGUGGCUAAGGCAUGCAAGUUGAAUGCUGGUAGCAAUACCGGCAUGGCAAACGGGAGAGUAACACAUUGGUAAUCUACCUCGAGGACGAGAAUAAUCCUGCGAAAGCGGGAAUAAUACUCGAUAAAAGUGGGGGGGCAAAAGUCAUUCCCACUUAAAGCUCCGACGCCUCGAGAGGAGCCUAUGGCUUAUCAGCUAGUUGGUGAGGUAAAAGCUCACCAAGGCUAUGACGAGUAGCGGGUGCGAGAGCAUGACCCGUCUCACUGGGACUGAGACACUGCCCAGACUCCUACGGGAGGCUGCAGUCACGAAUCUUCCUCAAUGGCCGAAAGGCUGAAGGAGCGACGUCGCGUGUAUGAAGAAGCCCUUCGGGGUGUAAAAUACUUUUCUCUCUGACGAAACAAUGACGGUAAGAGAGGAAUAAGGAGCUGCUAACCUCGU